rnacentral:rRNA from 1 species
GUUGCUGGUUCUCUAGAGAGCAUGUGCACGCCUUGUCAUCUUUAUAUCUCCACCUGUGCACCCUUUGUAGACCCUGGAUUUUUUUUCAUGGUCUAUGUUGCUUCUUCAUAUACCCCAAUGUAUGUUAAUAGAAUGUUUGUGCUUAUAAAAUCUAUACAACUUUCAGCAACGGAUCUCUUGGCUCUCGCAUCGAUGAAGAACGCAGCGAAAUGCGAUAAGUAAUGUGAAUUGCAGAAUUCAGUGAAUCAUCGAAUCUUUGAACGCACCUUGCGCUCCUUGGUAUUCCGAGGAGCAUGCCUGUUUGAGUGUCAUUAAUAUAUAUCAACCACUUCUUGUUGAGUGGCUUGGAUGUGGGGGGUUUGCUGGCCUCUUGAAGGGUCAGCUCCCCUGAAAUGCAUCAGCAGAACCAACCUGUUCAUUGGUGUGAUAACUAUCUACGCUAUUGAAAGGUGAAGGCAGUUCAGCUUC